AAUACCAGCAAUUCUUUGACAUCACCUGAUCUUGUCUAGGUGGUGAAAGCUAAGCAGUAUCAGGCUUGCUUAGUACUUGGGUGGGAAAUUCCUAGGGAAAACAGGGCUGUAAUAU
rnacentral:rRNA from 1 species